UCAAAAUCCUAUAAUUGGACGGCCACCAAAAUUCCUUCCCAAAACCCUUAAAUGCUCGCAUUAUCAGGGUCAUUGGACAUCAUAUCUAACGGCCCAGAUAUCGUCUCUCAUCUUUAACCUCAAAGACCAACCCUAAUAUCCAAACUCUAAAAAUCAUAUCCCCUACCCAGCCGCCCUUCUUUACUCUUUCUCUCUCACUUCUCUCAACCUCACAGCCAAAUCAAUCAAAAGACGUUGUACAAAUUCGUGCAAGGUCAUUAAUUUAUCUAGAGAUUCAUCCUCCCAUCUACCAUAUCUGUGAUUCUCACUGAAUCUUUCAUCUUUCAUCAAUAAAGUUUGAAAUCCCCCAAAUCUGAACCCUGGCCCCAAAUAUGAAACCUCAAAUUGCCUUUGAUCUUUCAAAUCCAUGGCAUGCAUGGUUAUCUAUUUUUCUCAUGUACUUCAGAUCUCAUUGCUUUUUCCGUUUUCACCAUUUGAUUUCAAAAUCCCAAAUCUUAAACCCUAGACCGAAAUGUGAAACUUCAAUUCAUCUCACUUGUUCCUUCAUUCUUUCAAAUCGAAUAAGGAAUGAAGACGUUAGCUAGCUUCACCGUUAAUAUUCGAUAUCCAUCGGUCAAAUGCAAUGACCUUUGGGUAUUAGGAUUCUGACUGAUGGUCUCUCAUGCUUCAACGGCUGGUCUCUCAUUUGCCAUGCUUAGGUAAAAUCGCUACUGACUUCCCUCUGUUUCUCUAAGACUUUCACUCGAUUGUGCUUACAUCACCAUUCCUUCGUCAUUCUCCACCAUCGAUUUGAAUCUGAAACCCUAAUGCAUUUACAACCACAAUAAAUAAGGGCUUUUAAUGUUCUCACCUAACAUACCUAACACACAAAAAUGAUACAACAAAGGCACCACGAAUUUCCAUUUCUCAAUCCAAACUGCCGACAUAGAUCUAGCAUGAAUAAUUUUGGAGGGUAGUUCUGCGGUCUAUUUCGUGGCUGCAUAACUGGUCUGUGGACUGCAGACCUGCCGCAGACUUGUCCCGGCUUGUCCAGUUUUUGGGAUCGUUUUUAUGUUCCAUUUUGCAUGCCACAUAUCUAUUCUGCGGUCCACUCUGUGAACGCAAAGUUGAGUUCGCAAGGUCCAUUUCGGGGCCGCAUAACUGGUUUGUGGACCGCAGACUUGUCCAGUUUUUGGAAUGAUUUUUGCGGUCCAUUUUGCAGGCCGCAUAUCUAUUCUGCGGUCCACUCUUUGACCGUAAAGUUGAGUUUGGAGGGUUUAUUUUUAUUUUUAUAAUCCGACCUCAUUUUGAUUUAAAGUCUUUGGGGCUUGUUUUGAAGGAAAAAAUUAGAUGUUUAUAGAGAAAAGAGUAUCUGUGUGUGUGUGUGUGAGAGAGAGAUACAGAGAGAGGGAGAGAGAAGACGUAGCAAUUGUACUUAUCCAAUCUUGCCCCAAUCUUCAAGAAUCAUGGAAGUCACUCGCUAAACCAUUAUCUGUCUGGGUAAGUCCUUCUUUUAAGCUUUCCUGCAAGAUGUUAUAUGUCUAAGUAUAUUGUGGGGUUGGAGAUAGACCAUGCAUGUGCCAAUAGGUGGUAGUAUGUGGAGUUGUUGAACUAAUUCGGGUAGUUUCUUGUUGAAUUGGUUGAGGGAGGAAGGGAUUACCAUUGUAGAGCCUUGCAUUAGAUUUUUACUCGAAAUUCCCAAGAGAGUUAUAUCAUGAGAAUCCUUCCAAUUAAUAUUUGAUUAUUCCCUAUAUUCUUAUAGAUUGAAUUCGCUAGAAAUAUUGUGAUGUUGUAUUAAUCUAAGGAAAGCUCAAGAAAGGUAUGUACUAAUACACAAGAAAUGAAUAUCAUCAUAAAUUUGUAUUAUAUGAUCACAAAACGCCAUAAAAUGAAUCAUGAAAGUCAUGGCGAACCAAUCAGUAUUGAUCACUAGAUCAUUUCCUAUAAAUAUAUGAAAUUUCAGGGCAAUUGGUGUAUGUCAAAAAAAAUUUACAAAAUUAGCAUGUACAUGAAAAAAGUGGAUAUAAUCACAAAUUAAGGUUGCAUGAAUCCAAAAAAUCAAAAAAUGAACCCGAAGUCAUAGUGAAGCAAUGAGUAUUGGUUACUAGACCGUUUACUACGGACCUACGAAAUUUCAGAUUAAUCAGAGUCCGUAUUUAGCUUGCACUUUAUGUGCUUUUUGAUUUUAUGCUUGAUACUUGAUGAAUGAUGGUUGUGCUUGUUGUUUCUACUUUUCUUUUCUUUUCUUUUUUAUGGCUUCUAAUCAGCUGCAACUUAGUUGUGAUCUGAAAAAAGAAAAUUCCAGUCCGAAUAGUUGAUUUCUUACUGUAUGCAUGCAAUGGAGCAAGAAAAGGAAAAAAAAGAAAAAGAGCAGCAACUAUUGGAGCAAGAAGCAUAUCGUCAUAUAAAGCACAAAACAUUUCAAUUCAUACAAUUUGUAUGUACAUAGAGUUAACGUUGAUCAAGUCACACGAUCUUCUCUUAAUUUCUAUUUCUUUCUUUCAUAUUCCUUCAAACAUGAAAUCAAACCUGCAAGUCAUAAGCACUCUACACAAUAAUUACCACACAAUAAAACAAGGAUUUUAACUUAUAUAAACUGACAUAGAAGAUCCCAAACCACUGUAUUUUCUCUUUCAAUCGUUUACCAUCAAUAAACAAUUCUUACAUACAUAGGCUUAGUCCAAAGUGUGAACGAUGAAAUCAGCAGUAUCAACAUGCAUGUUAGUAGUCUUGACACCACAACUUCCUAUAGAGUUUGAACUUUCUUGAUCAUGGUGAUGAUCAAUCAGCCCAAGUUUCUCAUUUUGGCCACGACGACGAAAAUCGGAAGCAUUAUUGUCAUGAAUGUUGGAGGUUGGAAUUCCACUGAGUAUGUUGUUGUUGUUGAUGUUGGAAGGUGGGUGAUAAUACAUCCGACCAGUCUGAGGGCAAUGAGAAUGAAACCUAGCUACUAUUCUUACACCUACAUCCACCAUUUCCAUGCAUUUCCCCAU
rnacentral:lncRNA from 1 species